AUCAGACCCUUAAAUGUUCAAGUUGUAGUAAGAGACCUUUUAAAAUAUGUUAAUUAAGACUAUCCUUUAUAAGAAAGACUAAUCUGUGAGACUUGUUUUCUUAAUUUUCAGGAGUGCAUCAGAGCCUUAGGUAGAAAUAAACCUCAUACUCCUUUCCGUGCAAGUAAACUCACUCAGGUGUUAAGAGAUUCUUUCAUAGGUGAAAACUCUCGUACCUGCAUGAUUGCCACAAUCUCUCCAGGAAUGGCAUCCUGUGAAAAUACUCUUAAUACAUUAAGAUAUGCAAAUAGGGUCAAAGAAUUGACUGUAGAUCCAACUGCUGCUGGUGAUGUUCGUCCAAUAAUGCACCAUCCACCAAACCAGAUUGAUGACUUAGAGACACAGUGGGGUGUGGGGAGUUCCCCUCAGAGAGAUGAUCUAAA
rnacentral:lncRNA from 1 species